CAAUUGAAUAAGCAAUUUGGUUCCGAAGUCAAGCAACGACGCUUGUCAAGCGGUCAACAGCGGGAAGAGCGGUGAGAAUCCGUCGCAACAGCCAUUACCGUAUUUGGCGCACAGUCGCCAUAAGUCGGGAGACCUGCCUUAUUGCCAAAAGGUAA
rnacentral:ncRNA from 2 species